UACAGACAACAGCUAUGCAGGCUGAUGGA
rnacentral:piRNA from 1 species